AGAGACACACCAGGAGCCACGAGGUAGACAUCAGAGAACCAACACCAGGGAAAAGAAAAGACACACCAUUAAACUUCAACCACCCACGACACAAUGCUAAAAAGAGCUGAAACCCUUCUUCCUUGAAAUCAAGCCAGAGAAACCAACUCAAACCACAAGAUAAACCAACCACCAACAGAUAUAUUUCAUUGCUAACUAGAUCAAGGAAGAGCAACCAACAAAAUUCAAUGGGACCACCAGAAACGACCGAGGAAAGCACCUGCGGAAUAGAGACCAAGGCCCAACAGCAGGAAGGAAUCGAUACUCUAUAGAUCCACCACUAGCAACCUAGAAUUUGAAGCAGAGAUGGAGCGGAGAACCGCACCACACAAAUAAGCCACCACCAAAAUACCUCAAUUGAUCCUCCAAAUCUGAAAUUAUAGAUCUGGAAUUUCUUUCUAAAAAUGAUCUAGUCCAAAGACAUGUAACCAGAAAUGAACAAUAAUAUCACAAGGGAGAUACACUGAUCGGACCGACGGUGGCAAGGGAAGCCAAGCCCCGGUCGUUGAAAAGUAUCUUAAUAGAUGAAGUAGAGAGCAGGCAGAGAGACAUUUCUAGAGAGAUUUUUUUGAAGGACUGUUGUGGGUGGG
rnacentral:lncRNA from 1 species